rnacentral:rRNA from 1 species
CUGUGGGUCGUAAACCUCUUUUCUCAGGGAAGAAGUACUGACGGUACCUGAGGAAUCAGCAUCGGCUAACUCCGUGCCAGCAGCCGCGGUAAGACGGAGGAUGCAAGCGUUAUCCGGAAUUAUUGGGCGUAAAGCGUCCGUAGGUGGUAUAGAAAGUCUGUUGUUAAAUCCCACAGCUCAACUGUGGAUCGGCAAUGGAAACUACUAAACUUGAGUGUGGUAGGGGUAGAGGGAAUUCCUAGUGUAGCGGUGAAAUGCGUAGAUAUUAGGAAGAACACCAGUGGCGAAGGCGCUCUACUGGGCCAUAACUGACACUUGUGGACCAAAGCUUAGGGAACC